rnacentral:rRNA from 1 species
AACGAACGCUGGCGGCGUGCUUAACACAUGCAAGUCGAACGCUGAAGCCCUUUCGGGGGUGGAUGAGUGGCGAACGGGUGAGUAACACGUGGGUAAUCUGCCCUGUACUUCGGGAUAAGCCUUGGAAACGGGGUCUAAUACCGGAUAGGACCUGUCCUCGCAUGGGGGUGGGUGGAAAGUUCCGGCGGUAUGGGAUGAGCCCGCGGCCUAUCAGCUUGUUGGUGGGGUAGUGGCCUACCAAGGCGACGACGGGUAGCCGGCCUGAGAGGGUGACCGGUCACACUGGGACUGAGACACGGCCCAGACUCCUACUGGAGGCAGCAGUGGGGAAUCUUGCGCAAUGGGCGAAAGCCUGACGCAGGAACGCCGCGUGGGGGAUGACGGCCUUCGGGUUGUAAACCUCUUUCGACAUCGACGAAGGGGCCCUGUUGUGGUGUUUUGACGGUAGGUGUAGAAGAAGCACCGGCUAACUACGUGCCAGCAGCCGCAGUAA